UACGUAGGGUGCGAGCGUUAAUCGGAAUUACUGGGCGUAAAGCGUGCGCAGGCGGUUUGCUAAGACCGAUGUGAAAUCCCCGGGCUUAACCUGGGAACUGCAUUGGUGACUGGCAGGCCAGAGUAUGGCAGAGGGGGGGUAGAAUUCCACGUGUAGCAGUGAAAAUGCGGUAGAGAUGUGGAGGAAUACCGAUGGCGAAGGCAGCCCCCUGGGGCCAAU
rnacentral:rRNA from 1 species